rnacentral:misc_RNA from 1 species
CCGGCUCAAACCCUUCCACCGACUGCAGCCGAAACUCCUGCAAAUGCCGCAUAGGUAUAGCCCCGGCCUUGGCCAGGUGCCCCAGCUCGGGCUUAGUCAGCUUCCGGUCGCGGACGCGGCGGUACCCGACCUGGACGGCGUCGUAGCCGUCAGUCGCCUCAGUCUUGACCUGGGUGACGAUGUUGCCCUCACGGAAGCCAACGACGGUGACGGGCACAACGGUGCCCUCCGGCUCGAAGAAGCUCAUCAUGCCGAGUUUCGUGCCCAUGACGCCGACGGCCACCUCCAUGCUCAUGACGGUGACGGAGGGGCGGCGGCGGAUGGGGCGGGCGGCGGGUUUCCAAGAGAGGGAGGUGCGAGAGGUGGG